UAUGCUGAGUCCUCUCAGUUGACACACUUGUCCUUGAAGUCUGCCAAAAGCUGUACUGGUACACGAAAUAUGGAAGUCUGCCUCAUCAUCUAGGUUGGUGUUUGCUGAUAUAGUGCUUCCCAGAUAAACAAACUUUUUGAUGUUUGCUAAUUUUUGGCCAUCGAUAAGAAUGUCUGGUUCUGUGACAGAUUUAUUUGGAGUAUGUUGGUGCAGCACUUCUGUCUUUUUUACAAUUAUGGUGAGGCCAAAAUUUGUGCAGGCCUUGGCGAAGAGGGACAGGCUCUUUUGAAGUUUUUUUCCUUUUAAGACAUUUAGGGCACACUCAUCUGUGAAUUUCUGAUGCAGCCAUUGUUUACCUUGGUCCUUGUCUCUGAGAUUUGAAUAAACUUGCAUCAGUGCGAUAUCGUAAACCAACUCCAAUUCUUUAUGUGCGAAAGGCAUAUUUCAGCAUAGCGGUGAACAUAAUGCUGAAAAGGGUUGGAGCCCUGCUUCACGCCAUUUGAGACAGGAAAAGGCUUGGAGUAGUCACCGUUGUCUUGGACUCUUGCUUGCAUGUCAUCAUGGAACUGGCGCACCUUUGUUAUGAAUUGUAUGCAUCUAUAUUAUCCAUAGGGCCUAUAUACUUAAAAUACAUUCUGAUUUCUACGUAGCAUAUGGUAUUUUAUAGCACUGAAGAUAAUGACUACAUAGCAUAUGGUAUUUUAUAGCACUGAAGAUAAUGACUACUUAGCAUAUGGUAUUUUAUAGCACUGAAGAUAAUGACUGCAAUCUUCCUAACUUGAAAAGAAAUCAACCUUCAUACUAAAUUUUGUUUUCUUUAGACAUCCUCCUUAUAUAGAUGGCUGCCU
rnacentral:sRNA from 1 species